rnacentral:lncRNA from 1 species
CAGACUUGUGAAGGUGGGGCCAGCCCCAUGUAAAUCCUAUGGACUGAGAGCUGGGGAGGGAGACAGGGUAUGAGGAGCUAAGAAAUGGCUUCCUUACUUUCUCUUCCUGAAUCGAGAACAAUUAAAAGAGGAUGGACACAGGAUUACGCAUAAGGGGUGCAAACUACCACAAGUUUGAAGAAUGUAGCUUCAUUGUUCAGCUGCAAAGAACUUCUAAGUACUAAAAUCUCAGAAACAGACAGCCCAUCACAGGCAGAACUGGCUACAUCCAGCUCCCUCUGUGUGGAUCUUGGGACAACCAAAGGAAGCAGAAAGGAUUCACUCACAAGCCACAUCCCAGGGCAAGCAGCCGGACCUUAAUCAAGACACGUGGCCCUCUCCUUCCCUUCUCUCCUCAGCAGGUGAUGAAAUGGAUCAGUAACUGAAAGAAGUUUUUCAUAAAUGUUAAAGGGAGUAUGAAUCCAAGAUGGAGACGCCCCAGCUCCAGUCCCCAGGCGAUGUUGAAGUUGCCGUCAUCGGAAGCAGUCACAGAGGACACUCGCCUCGCUGGGGAAGGAGGAACCCACUCAAGGAAGUCCUCAGCAUGUGAACAGACACAGUUCAGGCAAGUCGCCCAAAGACAUGACCAGCUAGGGCUGAGAGCACCAAGGCCUGAAAGAAGAGGGACCAGCGGAUACUAUGGGGUGAUGCCUCUUCUCAGUGCCCACAGACUCAAUGAAGCUGGAGCUGCUUGGCUCACAGAGGAUGCACGGGGAUCCACCAGCUGUCUCCUUCUCACCCAGCUCGGGAGUCCCUGGCUGACCCCUCCAUCCACCUUGCCUCUGACCAGGUCAUAGCAUCUGGCUCUCCACCUCCAGGGAAGGAAAACAGAAAGUAGUGGGAAGUGACAGGGCCCUAAACCACUUGGAUGGAAAUAGAGUCAUUGGGAGCCAUGGGGAGAAGGACUGGGCCAAGAAGCUGAUUGCAUUGCUCUUGGCAACCACACGUCCCAGCAGGUCAGUCAAUACGGCAGUGCCCACUGGGAUGCGGUUUCCUGAAGCUAACAAAAGAAAUCUAUAUUUUUCUCAGGAUCACCAACCCUUCUCCAGGCAGCACGCGUUCGUCCCCUCCUAUCUGCUGGCAGCAGAAAGGGACAAAGAAACCAAGGCCAGAAGGUGGCUGAGGCUGUCUCUAGACUAAGAGCCCUGAAAGGGAAUGUGGCAUUUUACCUACACGCUUCCCUUUCCUUCACUCUCCAUGGCAGUACUUCUCAGCCCCACAAUUGCAAAGGACUCCAAACUGAGAUGUGAUUUUUCAGUUUCUCUCCUUUCCAAUCCAGCCUAAUAAUAAUAGCUAAUAUUGAUUGGGCUCUUACUACGUGCUAGACUGUCUAUAAAACUCUUUACAUGUAUUAACUUGUUUAAUCCUUGGAAAACCCCGCCCUGUGGGGUAGAUAUUAACUAGUAUCCCCAUUUUGUGGCUGAGGAAUCUGAAGCACAGAGCAGUUAAUUAACUUGCUCACUGUCACAUAGCUUGUUGGCAGUAGAGGCGGACAGCCCAGACCCUGCUAUCACACCCCUCCAAGGGCAAGGUAUUUGGAACUGGACCAGUGAAUCUCGAAACUGCAGCACUAGCCCUUGCUAGCUCUGUGAUUUGGACAAGCUGCCCAAUCUCUCUGAACUUCGUUUCUUCAUCUGUAAUGCGAACAUGAUAAUGACAAUCUUGUAAGAUUACCAGGGAAUUCCAAGGGUAUUAUAGGGUAAUUCCAAGGAUUUGUUAGAUGACUCACCACACUUUCCACCCCCACCACCCAUCCUAUUCUGAGCUCCAGCAAUACCAAAUUGUCUUCGUUUUGCUCACGUGUGCCUUUACAUAUAUCUCUGCUCCCUUUGAGAGCGUUCUCUUACCUACCUGGUUUCUUUGUCCCUUUCUGCUGCCAGCAGAUAAGAGGAUCUUGUCUGGUCAGCUCCUCUCCUGUCGGAUCUCAGCUGGAUGCUGCCGCCUCUGAGAAGCCUCCCUGACUUCCCAACUCUGCACUGCCUUUUCAGUGUUCUCACAAACCCCUGCAUAUCCCUACUACAGCACUCAUCACACUCGACUUGAACUGUCCAAGCACAGGUCCAUCUCCCCUACUGGCCAUGAGCUCUGCAAGGGCAACGUCACUGAGCCCAUCCCAUCCUGAAUGCACAGUGUCUAGCAAGUGCCUGGAAUAAAGAUCAGUAAAUAUUCGUUGCACAAAUAACUAAAUUGAAAUUUCUUGUUAUUUAUACUAAUAUGCCUGCUUAGUCCCUCCUAGCACAUGACAAGUA